GCCCUGGUCUUCCAACUCCAAAUUAAUUUGAGCAUAAUUUUCUCUCAUUUCUUUCUACAUGUGACUUGGGAGCAUUGUGGUUACCAGCCAGGGUGAAGUGUAAAUUGGUGACUUUGGAGUGUCGUAUUUACCAGGCAGGGUGAAGUGAAAAUUGGUGAAUUGGGAGCAUUGUGGUUACCAGGCAGGGUGAAGCGUAAAUUGGUGAGUAUUGCCCGGGUCCUCCAACUCCAAUUAAUUUGAGCAUAAUGUUCUCACCUUUUUAUUCUACAGGUGACUUUGGAGUGUCGUAUUUACCAGGCAGGGUGAAGUGAAAAUUGGUGAUUAUUGCCCUGGUUCUCCAACUCCCAAUUAAUCUGAGCAUAAUGUUCUCUCAUUUCUUUCUGCAGGUGACUUGGAAGAAUCGUAGUUACCACGCAGGGUGAAGUGAAAAUUGGUGAGUAUGGCUCUGGUCCUCCAACUCCAAUUAGUUUGAACAUAAUGUUCUCUCAUUUCUUUCUGCAGUUGACUUGGGAGAACCGUAGAUACCACGCAGGUUGAAGUGAAAAUUGCUGAGUAUUGCUCUGGUUCUCCAACUCCCAAUUAAUUUGAGCAUAAUGUUCUCUCAUUUCUUUCUACAGGUGCAUUAGGAGCAUUGUGGUUACCAGGCAGGGUGAAGUGUAAAUUGGUGAGUAUUGCCCUAGUCCUCCAACUCUAAUUAAAUUGAGCGUAAUGUUCUCUCAUUUCUUUUUACAUGUGACUUGGGAGCAUCGUGGUUACCAGGCAGGAUGAAAUGGAAAUUGACCCGGUUCAGGUCUCUUGGACAUAUGGCGUGAGCUGUGAGAGGUGCGUGGGGUUUGUGUGCAAAAAGUUAUUUCUUUCAUUUUAAUUUAUGUACAUAUUAGGAAUAUUUU
rnacentral:lncRNA from 1 species